GACGAACGCUGGCGGCGUGCUUAACACAUGCCAGUCGAACGGAAAGGCCCUGCUUUUGUGGGGUGCUCGAGUGGCGAACGGGUGAGUAACACGUGAGUAACCUGCCCUUGACUUUGGGAUAACUUCAGGAAACUGGGGCUAAUACCGGAUAGGAGCUCCUGCUGCAUGGUGGGGGUUGGAAAGUUUCGGCGGUUGGGGAUGGACUCGCGGCUUAUCAGCUUGUUGGUGGGGUAGUGGCUUACCAAGGCUUUGACGGGUAGCCGGCCUGAGAGGGUGACCGGCCACAUUGGGACUGAGAUACGGCCCAGACUCCUACGGGAGGCAGCGGUGGGGAAUAUUGCACAAUGGGCGGAAGCCUGAUGCAGCAACGCCGCGUGCGGGAUGACGGCCUUCGGGUUGUAAACCGCUUUCGCCUGUGACGAAGCGUGAGUGACGGUAAUGGGUAAAGAAGCACCGGCUAACUACGU
rnacentral:rRNA from 1 species